AAAUGAGGGUGAACCACAAAGUGGAAGUAUUUUCUUAGCUCGUGAGAUUUGCCACGAGGACGGGACUAUAGGGAGAUUGGACUCAAAUUGAGAAAGGCCCUAACAUGGCAUUGGUCUUCAGCUUGUCCACUCAUGUUUCUCCUCAUCACUGGGAUGGAGACAUCCAAAAGUCUAAACCAGCGCUCAGAGUUGAAGCAGGUCAUCCAGGUGGAAUCUGGGAAGGAUGCAGUCCUAGACUGCUCUGUGAAGUUCAGUGAGGAAUCCCCUGGUAAUGUAAACAUAAAGCAGGUUGUGGAGGCUGGACCAGAAUGGUCAUUACAAAGGUGAACCUGUGUUCACAUAUAUAUAUACAAUCCUCCAAUCCCAGGAUGCUGCUGAGCCCAAAAUAUCAGCUUUCCAUGCCACCUGCCAAUGAGAGACAAAGUUGUGUCCCUGUUGGUUAAAGAAACCCAGCCUGAAGAAGAGGGUCCGUAUGAGUGUGUGGUGAACACUGACAGUGGAAACACAAAUUGUAACUUCAUGCUGAAGGUCACAGUAUGAGACCAGCACCAGGUUCCUGAGAAUGCUGCAAAUCAAAAGGAAAUUCCAAAGAACAGUUACAAGAAUGUGACUGCUGUAUUUGUGGUAGUAGGCUCUCUUGCCAUUGGACUGCUGCUUCUCAAGCUGUUUCAAGCCAGAAGACUCAGACAACAUGAGCACCCAGGGUCAUGUCCAUUAGGACACACUGUUGCAAAAUGCUUCAAGAAGUUAUUCAGAUAGUUCCUCCCCAUUUCAGACUGCUUCUUUCCAUUUCGUGCCUAGUGAACACGACCUUGCAUUUGACAAUCUCUGCCGAGAGGAAUGCAGAGGUCUGGGAAGAUUAGGAGAGUACUUUCUGUUCUGGCUAAAUGCCAGGAUGUUGCUAUAUAAGUGGAAUGGAGAACUAACUCCUCGACAAGAUCACUUAGUUUAGUUUUUAUUGUUUUAGUUUCUCUAUUGCUCUCCUUCUCCUCCCCAGAUGGGAAUUCAGGAUUUGUUAUUCAAUUGUCUCUGUAACAAAUCACAAAACAUGGUAGAGCACACAGUAUCAACCCCUGUAAAAGGUUGCUUCUGGUUUCUCUUUCCAGAUGAACCAGUGGCACAGGAAGACUCUUUUGUGGCAGAAUGUUUGAGUAUAUUAUUUUUGUCUACCUAAUCGAAGAGGGAUUCCUGUCAAAACGAUCAAAUUCAUAGUAAAAUGCAGUGUAUAAAAUGUGUGUGGUAAAAUGGUGUAUAACAGUGUUGGUAUUCCUAUUGUCCCCUAUGGAACCAGAGCCUGAGGAUACAGCAGUCCCAGCAGAGCACGACUCCAGCACCAGGACAGGACUGUUUCCGUAGCGACAGAUGUAUUAUCCGGAGUGUUAUGGGCUCUCUUCCCUGUCGGUGUCAUGUCUGCUCUGUCUCUCACGCCACACAGCUAACUGAAUGUUAAUGCUUUGCCUGGAAGAGAGAACAAUCUGGUUCAACACUAUUGUGUUCCCCCUCUGCAGGAGAAAUGGAGUGCAUGCAUUAUCCUGCUACCAAGCUAAGUGUUAACAGCAUUGUCUGUAGUUGUUAACCACACCAGACUAUUCUUUCAUAUAUUGUGACUAAAACCUGAUGUUAGAGUUCAGUGUGUCAUCGGGAUCUCUGUUGAAAAGUUUGUUUCUGUUGGAGAGUCUGUCCUCUCUGUCUCUGUCCUCUCUGUCUCUCUCUCUGUUGUGGUUAGAAUGGAUAGUUCAGAGUAACAUUCAUUCAUGACGUUAUAGAUUAGCUGUUUUGGCGGUUGUCGGUCUUCGCGUUCAAUGAUACCGAAUUCCUAGCUGCAGACUAGUAAUUAAUAUCAAAGACUUGUUCUUAUUCUGUCGGUAUCGAUAGUCUAAGAGUUUAACCACAUGGUAUGGUUAAAAGUUCAGCAAGAGAAAUGCAUGGUCUGCAACCUUUAGCCAUCUCGUAAUUGAGGUAAGCUUGGCCUCCUCUCAAACCUUGCCCCUCAUUAUCAAGGUAAGCUGGUCUCGUCUCAAACCUUAGCCCUCUCGUUAUCGAGGUAAGCUGGUCUGGUGAUAGAAAACCUAGGUGGGGAUUUUAUUUAGAAGAGCAGAAAAGGGCCAGUCCCAUGACACCAGACCAUAACUGUGCUCAUGGGUGGUCCUCUGAUUAGUUAAACUCCAAAAGGGAAUUGGAGUUUCCUUCAUUAAACAGUCCAAAAUCACAUUACACAAUUUCACAAACAGUUCCAUCCUCACUCAUUCAUUUUAUACAACAAUUAGAUGUAAGCCUCAUAACUGAGGCUAUUAUAUAAACAGCGUUAUGGUAAUGUGGCCGUAUUGUCUCUCAUGAGUUUCACAAAAUUGUACCAAACGGACCAGUUCGUAGCUGGAUUCUUCACCAAUCUUUUAUACAUUCUCCAGAACAUAAAUAU